rnacentral:rRNA from 1 species
GAUGAACGCUGGCGGCGUGCCUAAUACAUGCAAGUCGAGCGAACAGACGAGGAGCUUGCUCCUCUGACGUUAGCUGUGGACGGGUGAGUAACACGUGGAUAACUUACCUAUAAGACUGGGAUAACUUCGGGAAACCGGAGCUAAUACCGGAUAACAUGUUGAACCGCAUGGUUCAACAGUGAAAGACGGUCUUGCUGUCACUUAUAGAUGGAUCCGCGCCGCAUUAGCUAGUUGGCAAGGUAACGGCUUACCAAGGCAACGAUGCGUAGCCGACCUGAGAGGGUGAUCGGCCACACUGGAACUGAGACACGGUCCAGACUCCUACGGGAGGCAGCAGUAGGGAAUCUUCCGCAAUGGGCGAAAGCCUGACGGAGCAACGCCGCGUGAGUGAAGAAGGUCUUCGGAUCGUAAAACUCUGUUAUUAGGGAAGAACAAAUGUGUAAGUAACUAUGCACGUCUUGACGGUACCUAAUCAGAAAGCCACGGCUAACUACGUGCCAGCCGCCGCAGUAA